CCUUACCAGGUCUUGACAUCCGAUGCUAUUUACUAGAGAUGAAAGUUACUUCGGUACAUCGGUGACAGGUGGUGCAUGGUUGUCGUCAGCUCGUGUCGUGAGAUGUUGGGUUAAGUCCCGCAACGAGCGCAACCCCUAUUGUUAGUUGCCAUCAUUCAGUUGGGCACUCUAGCGAGACUGCCGGUAAUAAACCGGAGGAAGGUGGGGAUGACGUCAAAUCAUCAUGCCCUUAUGACCUGGGCUACACACGUGCUACAAUGGUUGGUACAACGAGUUGCGAGUCGGUGACGGCGAGCUAAUACUCUUAAAGCCAAUCUCAGUUCGGAUUGUAGGCUGCAACUCGCCUACAUGAAGUCGGAACCGCUAGUAAUCGCGGAUCAGCACGCCCGCGGUCGAAUACGUUCCCGGGCCUU
rnacentral:rRNA from 1 species